GUGCUCACUUUGGCAGCACACAUAAUAAACUUGAAUGAUACAGAGAAGAUAAGCAUGGUCCCUGUGCAAGGAUGACAUUCAAAUUCAUCAAGCAUUCCAUAUUUUU